CCCUUAGACGUUCUGGGCCGCACGCGCGCUACACUGACACAGGCAACGAGCUUUCCUUUACCGAAAGGUAUGGGUAAUCUUUUGAAACUGUGUCGUGCUGGGGAUAGAUCCUUGCAAUUUUUGAUCUUAAACGAGGAAUUCCUAGUAAGCGCGAGUCAUCAACUCGCGUUGAUUACGUCCCUGCCCUUUGUACACACCGCCCGUCGCUACUAUCGAUUGAAUGGCUUAGUGAGGCCUCAGGAUCCGCGCUUAAUGUGUGGAGAAUUUGGACAAACUACGUCAUUUAGAGGAAGUAAAAGUCGUAACA
rnacentral:rRNA from 1 species